CAGCAGCCGCGGUAAUACGUAGGGUGCGAGCGUUGUCCGGAUUUAUUGGGCGUAAAGGGCUCGUAGGUGGUUGAUCGCGUCGGAAGUGUAAUCUUGGGGCUUAACCCUGAGCGUGCUUUCGAUACGGGUUGACUUGAGGAAGGUAGGGGAGAAUGGAAUUCCUGGUGGAGCGGUGGAAUGCGCAGAUAUCAGGAGGAACACCAGUGGCGAAGGCGGUUCUCUGGGCCUUUCCUGACGCUGAGGAGCGAAAGCGUGGGGAGCGAACAGGCUUAGAUACCCUGGUAGUCCACGCUGUAAACGGUGGGUACUAGGUGUGGGGUCCAUUCCACGGGUUCCGUGCCGUAGCUAACGCUUUAAGUACCCCGCCUGGGGAGUACGGCCGCAAGGCUAAAACUCAAAUAAAUUGACGG
rnacentral:rRNA from 1 species